rnacentral:rRNA from 1 species
UACGUAGGGCGCAAGCGUUGUCCGGAAUUAUUGGGCGUAAAGAGCUCGUAGGCGGCUUGUCACGUCGAUUGUGAAAGCCCGAGGCUUAACCUCGGGUCUGCAGUCGAUACGGGCUAGCUAGAGUGUGGUAGGGGAGAUCGGAAUUCCUGGUGUAGCGGUGAAAUGCGCAGAUAUCAGGAGGAACACCGGUGGCGAAGGCGGAUCUCUGGGCCAUUACUGACGCUGAGGAGCGAAAGCGUGGGGAGCAAACGGG